CUUUUAGACACCAGCGUCCAGCCAUCCUCAGACAGCAACGGCAUGUUCUACACCUGUCCUUAAUUGCGAAACAAUAGAAAAUUAGAUAAGAAAGGAUAUCCAACGUUCCUGGAGAAGCAUAAUUAAACUGUGCAAAGAGAAGGAUGUCGGCAAGCUAGGAGAAAUCCCAGUGUCAGACUUCCUAGAUAUAGCAGAGAAGUUCCACUGGGGUUUAAGUAAAGAGGAAAUUAACCAAAUAACAACAAAAUAUGAUUUCAAGAAAAAUGGAAAAUUUGCAUACUGUGACUUCCUUCAGAGUUGUAUCUUGUUGUUAAAACCACAGAAAAGCUCACUGCUACAAAGGGUGAUUAUACAGAAGCCACAAAAACCGAUGAGUCCUGGACCACAAACCAUGUCAUUUUGCAGUCCAAUUAUGAGAAUUCAGCCCCAGAUCUUGCACUGCUGGAGACCAAUGAAGCGAACUUUUAAAUCCUAUGAUGAAAGUCGUACUGGACUGUUAAAUAUUGCAGAUUUCAGACAAGUUCUUCAUGAGUACAAAAUCAACCUAAGUGAAGAGGAGUUAUUUAAUAUUUUGGAAUAUUAUGAUAAAGCCCUUUCUUCAAAAAUAGCAUAUAAAGAUUUUCUCCGGGCGUUCUUACAGUAGGAUUUGGUCAAGUGCAAGAAACUGUAGAUACAGAUAGUGAUGGAUUUAUAAUUUCAAAUUUCAAACUAAUAAAUUGAGUAUAGCUAUUUAUUUAUUUAUUUAUUGUAACUAUUCAUUAGAGAGCUCAAAAUACUUUAAAAUUCUGACAGAGUGGUCCUGUGUUGUGGAUUAAAUCUACAUAGUGAAGGAAUUAAUUCUGCAUAAUCCAUUUAUCAAAAAAGAAAGAGGCAACAAUUAACAUUGUCAAAAUAACACUUCCUAAAGACAUCUCCAAAAGCGACUCAUUUAAGAAAAUUCUGUAUUUUUAAUUUUACACAUUUUAUUAAUGACAUACUCUAAUUUCAGUAAAAAGGUUUACAAGGCAUCCUAUUCAAUUUCCUCAACUGUAAUUUUCCAAACAUGUUACUUUUAAUAUAUUAGCCUUCAUUACUCAGAGUCAUCCUAUUUCUCAGUGCAUCUUUUCUGUUUACUUACAGUGAUGUAUUUGUAUUUUCAAUAUGGAAUGACUAUGAAAUCUGAGAUGAUGCCAGCGGUGUGACAAAACCACACCUUUCUGUUUUAAAAACUGUUCUACAUCCUUCAGCAGUUUAGGAAGGAACCUACUUUACCAAUGAACAUUGACUUCUUAACAGCAGAUAGAUUCCCAGUGUUAGACAUGAGGUUAUUUUUUUUAAGGAUUAUAUAUAUAUAUAAAUUUAUAUAUAUACAAAUUAAAUAGUAAACUGCAAGUAAGCCCUCUGGUUAGAUUUUCCAGUUCUAGAAAGUUCUGUAUGUGUAUCUUGUCAGAUACUUAGAUCUUGGGAAGGAAAUUAAAAGAUAAUCGUUUUGUCCAUGGAACUUCUGUGAUAAUUAAAGGAUGUAUGAUCAUCUGAGCUUGCUUACUGGGAUUAUAUCAAUAACUAAAUGCUUACCUGCUCUGAAGAAUUCUUAGAUAAAUAUGUCUCUGUUGGGUUCCUGAAUUAGUUUUCACUGGUACACUGAAGAGCUCUGUCCUCGUCACCUGUACGUAUUUUGUAUCUUUCUUUCUCCUAAGUAAAAUGUAAAAAUAAGUUUAAAAAAAAUAAUAAUAAAAGAGAGAGCAAGUCAUGUGUGUGAAGUCUCUGGAAUGAGACUGGAGAGAGGAACAUAAUCCUGAUUUUCUUAUUAUUUCUAGUGAAUAUAUGAACCAUUGCCACAAAUCUGAAAGAUUCACAGUGUAGACCAACUUAAUGCCUCUUUUUCAGGGGAAAUGUUUCAUCAUAUUUGGAGAUUUUCAGGAGAUUUACAGAAAAUUUUGUUUAAAAAGUACUUGGGGAUGUUUCAAAUUGGACCUGGAGAUGUGUAAUGUAGAUAUUCUAUAUAGUUUCUCAUAUAGAUUCUAGGAUUUCUGUAAUUUCUAAUUUACUAUAAAAUAAAUACAUUUGGAAUUGGAUGUAUUUGAAAUAGUAACAAAAAGAACAUUUGCUUUUUCAAAAAAAAAAUUCCAUCAGUUUUUCCAAAAUUGAUGGCUAUCUGUAAAUCUCUGAAGUUAAUGCUUAGAUACUGGAUUAAGGGAGGGGACUGUGACUAGAGUUAUUUAAGGAUGUUCUCCCAAUACAAAAAUUCCUAGUUCCAUUACUAGAAAACAGUACAUUUUAAGAAUACAACACCUAUGUCAGCAAGUGACUGAAAGGGUCUCGGUGCAGUUGCUGGAACCAGUAGGCACCUGUGGCAUAAGUGUUCAUACUGGGCCUCUCUGGGAGGUCCUGUGUUGGCAUCAGCCAGCCAUAUAUGGAAGUCCCCCAUGCCCAAGGGCAUCUCAGGCUACAGCAGGUAAUGUGUUUCAGCAACUGUGCUGAACCCAAAUGGGGUUCAGCUUAGUCCCACUGAAGAACCAGUUAGUCUAUUAAAAAAAAAAAAUAAAUUAUUAUUGUACCUUCCAAGAAUCUGCAAACUGCUCUCUUCCUUACUGGCAACUUCUUCUCCUGACCCUAAUCAGGUACAACACGUCUGAUCUAAUUUCUGUUAUUAUUUCAUACAGUUUUUGCACAUAAUUAAUUUUUCAUACUCAUUAAAGAAUUAAUUGCUAUUUGGAACACCUAAAAUUGUAACACAAAUACUACAAUAAUUAUUUUUAAAUAGUGGAUUUCACUGAACAGAUCUAACCACUGUGAAAAAAAAGUAAAUAAAUGAUUGUUAGGUGGUUGUGUUUAUGUGUGUGUGUGGUAUUUGGUGGUUUUGUUGUUGUUGUUGUUUGUUUGUUUGUUUGUUUGUUUGUUUCCAAAUACUCCCAUGAAGCCAGGGAUAGAAGAAUGGGAGCUUGUUUAAUCACAUUAAAAUAGAUUUUGCUGAGUGUCUUUGCUUACUACUGUGCAGAUUAACCGAAACAAUGAGCCUCAGGGCCCCUCACAGAGGAUGUUUCCUGACACAAAUGGGGAACCUGUCUCAAAAACCAGCUGAGACCGACCUUCUUGUUUGGACAAGAGCCAAGGAGCAGCUAGGUCUGUACAAAGGCAGGGGGUCAAUGGCAGGGGGUGAUGAAGAAGAGUUAACAACCUUCAUCCCCACAACCCUCUCCCCCGCCCCCCCCGAUGAUCAUGACCAGAAGGCACUGCGCAAGUGCAGACAGAAGGAGUUUAUGGAAAUGACUUCUUGGAGCUAAUUUCAACACGAAGCGGGGAUAGGUCAUGCAUAUGUACCGGCAUAUUGGGAAACUUCAUGCAUAUGUAGCUCUUUACUGCAUAUAACCAAAGCAAGUUGCCAUGUUAGGGCAGGCAUGCCUUUGGGAGCUAUCCUGCAUGUGCCCGGUGAAGAA